GUGCCAGCCGCCGCGGUAAUACAGAGGGUGCGAGCGUUAAUCGGAAUUACUGGGCGUAAAGGGCGCGUAGGUGGUUGUAUAAGAUUGUUGUGAAAUCCCUGGGCUUAACCUAGGAACUGCAACGAUGACUGUAUAGCUAGAGUAUUGUAGAGGGUAGUGGAAUUUCCGGUGUAGCGGUGAAAUGCGUAGAGAUCGGAAGGAACACCAGUGGCGAAGGCGGCUACCUGGACAAAUACUGACACUGAGGCGCGAGAGCGUGGGGAGCAAACAGGAUUAGAUACCCCCGUAGUCC
rnacentral:rRNA from 1 species